rnacentral:rRNA from 1 species
AAACCAGCACCUCAAGUGGUCAGGAGGAUUAUUGGGCCUAAAGCAUCCGUAGCCUGUUCUGUAAGUUUUCGGUUAAAUCCAUUAGCUCAACUAAUGGGCCGCCGAAAAUACUGUAGAACUAGGGAGUGGGAGAGGUAGACGGUAUUCGGUAGGAAGGGGUAAAAUCCUUUGAUCUACUGAGGACCACCUGUGGCGAAGGCGGUCUACCAGAACACGUUCGACGGUGAGGGAUGAAAGCUGGGGGAGCAAACCGGAUUAGAAACCCCAGUAGUCC